UGUCUUUCUUCUCUCCCUUGCAG
rnacentral:miRNA from 1 species